GUCAUGAAAAUAAAACAUAAGGGGUAACACUCUCAUUUUUAUCGGUCAUCUUGAAAAUAAAAUCAAGGGUAACACUGUCAUUUUUAUCCGUCGUCUUGAAAAAAGCAUUAGGGGUAACACUGUUGUUUUUUAUCGGUCGUCAUGAAAAGAAAACAUAAGGGUUAACACUGUCAUUUUUUAUCGGUCGUCAUGAUAAUAAAACGCGACUGUAAAACUGUUUUUUUUUAUUGGUUAUCAUUAAUAAAACGUAAGGGGUAACACUGUCGUUUUUUAUCAGUCAUGAAAAAAACGUAAGGGUUUACAUUGUCGUUUUUUUUCGGUCGUCAUGGAAAAAUGCAUAAGGGUUUACACUGUCGUUAUCAUCAGUCGUCUUGAAAAGAAACAUAAAGGGUAACACUGUCAUUUUUUAUUGGAGGUCAUGAAAAUAAAACAUAAGGGGUAACACUGUUGUUUUUUAUCGGAGGUCAUGAAAAUAAAACAUAAGGGGUAACACUGUUGUUUUUUAUCGGAGGUCAUGAAAAUAAA
ensembl:lncRNA